GGCUCAAUGGUCUAGUGGUAUGAUUGUCGCUUCGGGAACAUACAUUUGUGCCCCCUCGAGAGAGGAGAAAUUGUGACAGGCCCCGGGUUCAAAUCCCGGUUGAGCCC